AUUGAACGCUGGCGGCAGGCCUAACACAUGCAAGUCGAGCGGAGCGGCGGACGGGUGAGUAAUGCCUAGGAAUAUGCCUGGUAGUGGGGGAUAACGUCAGGUAACGGGAGCUAAUACCGCAUCCUAUCAGUUGAGCAUAGGUCGGAUUAGCUAGUUGGUGGGGUAAAGGCCUACCAAGGCGACGAUCCGUAACUGGUCUGAGAGGAUGAUCAGUCACACUGGAACUGAGACACGGUCCAGACUCCUACGGGAGGCAUCAGUGGGUAAUUUUGGACAAUGGGGGCAACCCUGAUCCAGCCAUGCCGCGUGUAUGAAGAAGGCCUUCGGGUUGUAAAGUACUUUUGUUAGGGAAGCGGUACCUAAAGAAUAAGCACCGGCUAACUACGUGCCAGCAGCCGCGGUAAUUC
rnacentral:rRNA from 1 species